GCGCCCAUAGCUCAGUUGGAUAGAGCAACGGACUUCUAAUCCGUAGGUCGUAGGUUCGAAUCCUACUGGGCGUG
rnacentral:tRNA from 2 species